rnacentral:misc_RNA from 1 species
GAACGCAUAUUGCGCCUUCUGGUAUUCCGGAAGGCAUGCUUGUUUGAGUGUCAUGAAAUUCUCAACUACUUUUUUAACAUUUUAUGUGUUAAGGGUGAAGUUGGAGUUGGAGGAUAAUUGCUGGCGCAACUCUUGUCUAAGGUUGCUUGUUGGCUCCUCUUGAAUGGAUGAGCUUUUCUAAUGGAUCAUAGCUCAGUAACACUAAUGUGAUAAUUAUCUACGUUAGAUGUGAAAACUAUGAGUAGAGUGGAAGCUCCUAUAGAAAAGAAGAUAAUACGUCUUGGGUGAUAACAAACCCUUGAACUUUGACAAAUCUGACCUCAAAUCAGGUAGGACUACCCGCUGAACUUAAG